UGUCCCAUUCAUCCCUUCAGACAGGCCUUGGGAGACCAUAUUCAGUGGAUCGUCUCAUGUUCUUCCGCCUCUCACAAAACUAUGUUCCGCGUUCUUGUCAUCGUUGCUGGAGAAUAGACCUGUUGGAAACGAGUGAGCCGCUCCAGAGCUAUGUCCCCUCAUACAACACUAGCCAGUUGCAAAAAUGGAAAUGCAGGAGGAAAUCCACUGACCUGAAGGCUAUCGAUGCAUGCCCACAAAGGCACAAGGUACUUCAGAGAUGCUGGGUGGUGCCGUCUGAGAUUGGUUACAGAAAUCACACGCGUGUGAGG
rnacentral:lncRNA from 1 species